UCUCCUAUUGUUGUUGCUGGGAGCUGGCAGCCAGGGGUAGUUGUGGCAGGGAAAGCAUGUGGACGAAAAGCUGGAACCCGUUGCUAGGUAAGGACCGCCUUCCCUUCUUCCAGGCCUGCAUGCACUUGCACAAUCAAGAAAUACCAUGGAGCUCACUCAGUGUCUUCCAUCUGCUUUUACAGGAGACUGCAGAACUGCAAGGUGAACACAUUGGCAUCCUCUCUCCAUAUCUGGUCCCUGAGGCUUGUUUCCCACCAUUCACAGGUAUGUCUGUCUCAGAUUGCACCCAAAAAGAUACAGUAGUUAUUUGGCAAGAUGAAAUCAAGGCACACAAAGAAAAGGCUUCUGAGAAUCCAUUGAGAGGCUUUCAGGUAUUUCUGAGCUCACUAUACUCACCAAUACUCUAUGCGUGGUUUUGGGCACUGUACAAGCACAUACGGUAA
rnacentral:lncRNA from 1 species